rnacentral:rRNA from 1 species
CUACACUGCGUGAGCGGACGAAAACAACAACACCUAAAAUGUGGAAUAUAGCAUAUAGUCGACAAGAGAAAUCUACGAAAAAACAAACAAAACUUUCAACAACGGAUCUCUUGGUUCUCGCAUCGAUGAAGAGCGCAGCGAAAUGCGAUACCUAGUGUGAAUUGCAGCCAUCGUGAAUCAUCGAGUUCUUGAACGCACAUUGCGCCCCUCGGCAUUCCGGGGGGCAUGCCUGUUUGAGCGUCGUUUCCAUCUUGCGCGUGCGCAGAGUUGGGGGAGCGGAGCGGACGACGUGUAAAGAGCGUCGGAGCUGCGACUCGCCUGAAAGGGAGCGAAGCUGGCCGAGCGAACUAGACUUUUUUUCAGGGACGCUUGGCGGCCGAGAGCGAGUGUUGCGAGACAACAAAAAGCUCGACCUCAAAUCAGGUAGGAAUACCCGCUGAACUUAA